GAUGAACGCUGGCGGCGUGCCUAAUACAUGCAAGUCGAGCGAACAGACGCGGAGCUUGCUCCUCUGACGUUUGCCGCGGGCGGGUGUGUCACACGUGGAUCACCUCCCUGUCAUACUGAGAUCACUUCGGGAAACCGGCUCUAAUCCCAGAUAAUAUAUUGAACCGCAUGGUUCAAUAGUGAAAUACGGUUUUGCUGUCACUUAUAGAUGGAUCCCCGCCGCAUUAGCUAGUUGUUACGGUAACGGCUUACCAAGGCAACGAUGCGUGGCCGACCUGAGAGAGGGAUCGGCCACACGGGAGCUUGGACAGCGUCCAUGCUCCUACGGGAGGGAGCAGUAGGGAAUGUGCCGCAGUGGUCGAAAGCCUGACGGAGCAACGCCGCGUGAGUGAUGAAGGUCUUCGGAGCGUAAAACUCUGUUAUGAGGGAAGAACAGAUGUGUAAGUAACUAUGCACGUCGUGACGGUACCUAAUCAGAAAGCCACGGCUAACUACGUG
rnacentral:rRNA from 1 species